CUUAGAAGAAACGUGUCAGCAGUUGGCCCGGGAGACUCUGGAGGAGCUGGACUGGUGUCUGGAGCAGCUGGAGACCAUGCAGACCUAUCGCUCUGUCAGCGAGAUGGCCUCGCACAAGUUCAAGAGGAUGUUGAACCGUGAGCUCACACACCUGUCAGAAAUGAGCAGGUCCGGAAACCAGGUCUCAGAGUACAUUUCCACAACAUUCCUGG
rnacentral:lncRNA from 1 species